rnacentral:rRNA from 1 species
GAUGAACGCUGGCGGCGUGCCUAAUACAUGCAAGUCGAGCGAACGGACGAGAAGCUUGCUUCUCUGAUGUUAGCGGCGGACGGGUGAGUAACACGUGGAUAACCUACCUAUAAGACUGGGAUAACUUCGGGAAACCGGAGCUAAUACCGGAUGAUAUUUUGAACCGCAGGGUUCAAAAGUGAAAGACGGUCUUGCUGUCACUUAUAGAUGGAUCCGCGCUGCAUUAGCUAGUUGGUAAGGUAACGGCUUACCAAGGCAACGAUGCAUAGCCGACCUGAGAGGGUGAUAGGCCACCUUGGAACUGAGCCACGGUCCAGACUCCUACGGGAGGGAGCAGUAGGCAAUCUUCCGCAAUGGGCGAAAGCCUGACGGAGCAACGCCGCGUGAGUGAUGACGGUCUUCGGAGCGUAAAACUCUGUUAUUAGGGAAGAACAUAUGUGUAAGUAACUGUGCACAUCUUGACGGUACCUAAUCAGAAAGCCACGGCUAACUACGUG